AACGAACGCUGGCGGCAUGCCUAACACAUGCAAGUCGAACGAGACCUUCGGGUCUAGUGGCGCACGGGUGCGUAACGCGUGGGAACCUGCCCUUAGGUUCGGAAUAACUCCCCGAAAGGGGUGCUAAUACCGGAUAAUGUCUUCGGACCAAAGAUUUAUCGCCUUUGGAUGGGCCCGCGUUGGAUUAGCUAGUUGGUAGGGUAAAAGCCUACCAAGGCGACGAUCCAUAGCUGGUCUGAGAGGAUGAUCAGCCACACUGGGACUGAGACACGGCCCAGACUCCUACGGGAGGGAGGCGUGGGGAAUAAUGGAAAAUGGGGGGAAGGCUGAACCCGCCAUGGCGCGUGAGUGGUUAAGGGCUUAGGGUUGUAAAGCUCUUUUACCCGGGAUGAUAAUGACAGUACCGGGAGAAUAAGCUCCGGCUAACUCCGUG
rnacentral:rRNA from 1 species